rnacentral:rRNA from 1 species
UACAGAGGGUGCGAGCGUUGUCCGGAAUCACUGGGCGUAAAGGGCGCGUAGGUGGUGGCUUAAGCGUGCGGUGAAAGCUCGGGGCUCAACUCCGAGUCGGCCGUGCGAACUGGGCUCACUGGAGCAUAGUAGAGGCAGGUGGAAUUCCGGGUGUAGCGGUGGAAUGCGUAGAGAUCCGGAAGAACACCGGUGGCGAAGGCGGCCUGCUGGGCUAUGGCUGACACUGAGGCGCGACAGCGUGGGGGGCAAACAGG